CACCGUAUCUUGCAACCCAUGUGAAUAAAAGGCCGUAGAAACAAUAUCAGCAGUGACUUCAGAUAAAGGAACAGCUUCAGGCCAUCUGGAGAACCGAUCAAUCAUAGUAAGACAAUACCGAAAACCUUGACAGACAGGAAGAGGUCCAAUUAAAUCAAGAUGUAUAUGUUGAAAACGUUGAUCUGGAACAGAAAUCUUGACAGGCCAAACAAAUUUUUGUUGAAUUUAUUUUAAAGUCGCUCUACCACUAGGAUGAGCCAAACCGUGAACAAUAUCAAAAAUUCUUCUUCGUAAACGUAAAGGAACAUAAGGACGAAUAUUCUCAGUGGAACAAUCACAAAAUAUAGGUGAAAUUGAACCAUUAGCAAGAUCUUCAAGAGAAACAAUGACAGGCAAAGAAAUAGCAUUAAUUCUUGAAAAUAAAUCAGCAACAAUAGGAACUUGAUAAUAAGCCUUGACCAAGUCAAUUUUAGAAUAUAUUCUUACCAUGUAAUCCCAUUGUUAAAUCUUGAAUAUGUGGGAGAGGGUAACGGGACCAUGUGCAGUGGAGAAGACCAACAGCUACUAGAAGGCCUACAAAUACGUACCUUGCUCAAUCAUAAGGUUAAAUUCUUCACGAGCAAAUUUAAGCUUCUCAGGAGAAAGUCUUCGUGGAGUAACAGAAAUAGGAGGUCCUCUUGUAACAAUAUGAUGUUCAACUUGAUGUAACUUGUUGGAAGUCAAAGGUGCAAAAUGCGUUAAUUCAGGAAAUCUUGCAAGGAUUUUAUGGUAUUAAUCCUGGAUCCAUUAGCAGCAAACAGUUUAAAAGAAGAAAUUAUUUAUUCAUUUGUAAGCUUGAUAUUAGUAAACACGUAUAACUUUACAAA